CCGAGCCUGGACGGUGGCUCUGAGGGGCCAAACGUCGUUGUCCCCACCUCCCUCCUUUCUCGUGCGCAACCUAAAUUUCACGUGGACCACAGGAGAAAGCGACGGUAUCAAGAAACCUCCGGCGCCCAGUGCGACUCCCUAAGACUGUCCAAAGAGAUGGUGAAGGUUUAGAGGCAGUCAUGUCUUGCAAGUCUAUGUUGAGGUUCAUUUUUCUUUGCGUAAUCCAAGGACUCAUAAAUCAUGCCACAGCCAGUUGUCUUGCCUCCGGGUGAAGAACAUCCAUGACCAUUUAUUUCGGUUGAAGUAGUCAGUUGGUCAUGAACUUCUUGGUCUGGAUCGUUGCUGUGUGUUCAUGAUGGCGGCCGAGCUACAAGCAGCCAGGGAGGAAAAGAGCGGACUCACCCUUUUAAAGUGUGAUCUCAGGGUUGUGAGAGCCCCAAAUUGGGUAUAGAGAUUACUUAAAGAUAAAAAUCUCUUUUUAAAAAGAAGAAAAAGAAGAAGGUAGCAGGAGGGGAAGAAUGAAGGGGGGGAAAUCAGAGGAGGAGACAAACCAUGAGAGACGAUGGACUCUGAAAAACAAACUGAGAGUUCUAGAGGGGAGGGAGGUGGGAGGAUGGGUUAGCCUGGUGGUGGGUAUUGAGGAGGGCACGUUCUGCAUGGAGCACUGGGUAUUAUGCACAAACAAUGAAUCAUGGAACACUUCAUCUAAAACUAAUGAUGUAAUGUAUGGGGAUUAACAUAAGAAUAAAAAAAAGGGCGCCUGGGUGGCUCAGUUGGUUGGGCGACUGCCUUCGGCUCGGGUCAUGAUCCCGGAGUCCUGGGAUCGAGUCCCACAUCGGGCUCCCGGCUCGGCGGGGAGCCUGCUUCUCCCUCUGACCCUAUCCCCUCUCAUGCUGUAUCUCUC